AUUGAACGCUGGCGGCAGGCCUAACACAUGCAAGUCGAGCGGCAGCGGGAAAGUAGCUUGCUACUUUUGCCGGCGAGCGGCGGACGGGUGAGUAAUGCCUGGGGAUCUGCCCAGUCGAGGGGGACAACUACUGGAAACGGUAGCUAAUACCGCAUACGCCCUACGGGGGAAAGCAGGGGACCUUCGGGCCUUGCGCGAUUGGAUGAACCCAGGUGGGAUUAGCUAGUUGGUGAGGUAAUGGCUCACCAAGGCGACGAUCCCUAGCUGGUCUGAGAGGAGGAUCAGCCACCCUGGAACUGAGACACGGUCCAGACUCCUGCGUGAGGCGGCGGUGGGGAAUAUUGCACAAUGGGGGAAACCCUGCUGCAGCCAUGCCGCGUGUGUGAAGAAGGCCUUCGGGUUGUAAAGCACUUUCAGCGAGGAGGAAAGGUUGGUAGCUAAUAACUGCCAGCUGUGACGUUACUUGCAGAAGAAGCACCGGCUAACUCCGUGCCAGCAGCCGCCGUAAUAC
rnacentral:rRNA from 1 species